CGUAACGCGUAUGGAACCUGCCCUUAUCUGGGGGAUAACUCGGGGAAACUCGAGCUAAUACCGCAUAAGAUAGUAGAGUGGCAUCACUCAGCUAUUAAAGAUUUAUCGGAUAAGGAUGGCCAUGCGUAAGAUUAGAUAGUUGGCGAGGUAACGGCUCACCAAGUCUACGAUCUUUAGGGGCUCUGAGAGGAGAAUCCCCCACACUGGCACUGAGAUACGGGCCAG
rnacentral:rRNA from 1 species